rnacentral:rRNA from 1 species
AUUUCCUUCGGGACUGAUUAUUUUGUGACUGAGUGGCGGACGGGUGAGUAACGCGUGGGUAACCUGCCUUGUACAGGGGGAUAACAGUUGGAAACGGCUGCUAAUACCGCAUUAAGCGCACAGGAUCGCAUGAUCCGGUGUGAAAAACUCCGGUGGUAUGAGAUGGACCCGCGUCUGAUUAGCCAGUUGGCAGGGUAACGGCCUACCAAAGCGACGAUCAGUAGCCGACCCGAGAGGGUGAUCGGCCACAUUGGGACUGAGACACGGCCCAGACUCC